GCAAACUUGGUCAUUUAGAGGAAGUAAAAGUCGUAACAAGGUCUCCGUAGGUGAACCUGCGGAGGGAUCAUUACAGAGUUCAUGCCCUUCGGGGUAGAUCUCCCACCCUAUGUAUUACUACUUUGUUGCUUUGGCGGGCCGCUAGGCUCCGGCUUGGCUACCGGCUUCGGCUGGUAAGCGCCCGCCAGAGGAAACCAAACUCUGAAUUUUAGUGUCGUCUGAGUACUAUUUAAUAGUUAAAACUUUCAACAACGGAUCUCUUGGUUCUGGCAUCGAUGAAGAACGCAGC
rnacentral:misc_RNA from 1 species